UACGAAGGGGGCUAGCGUUGUUCGGAAUUACUGGGCGUAAAGCGCACGUAGGCGGAUACUUAAGUCAGGGGGUGAAAUCCCGGGGGCUCAACCCCCGGAACUGCCUUUGAUACUGGGUAUCUCGAGUCCGGAAGAGGUGAGUGGAAUUCCGAGUGUAGAGGUGAAAUUCGUAGAUAUUCGGAGGAACACCAGUGGCGAAGGCGGCUCACUGGUCCGGUACUGACGCUGAGGUGCGAAAGCGUGGGGAGCAAACAGG
rnacentral:rRNA from 1 species